CCCCCUCUUCUUUUCCCCUUCUUUCACUGAAGUCCCUCUGUCAUCUUCGACACACCGCGGUCGCCCACCCACCGCGACGGCAUGCCACCACUGACACGCUCGCCCGACACGCCACCGCUCACUUCCCCUGCACGCUCCCCUGCCGCUUUCACUCUCUCUCAACUCUGGAACCCCCGGAUUCGGAUCUCUCUCGCAAGAUCGACGCCGAAUCUCACCCUCUCGCUCUCGAUUCUUCUCCCCAAUCGACCCGCGACACUUCCCUGCACAAAACUCCUCCAUUUCGUCCUCUCAAUUCCCCCGAUUUUCGGCGAUUAAACUCGAAAUCGCUCGUUGGAAAACUUGAAACCUCGCCGCAAAAAAAUCGAAAUUCCCCUCAAUCCGGACAAGCCUGAGCCUCGUAACACCGGUCUUGAGCACGGCGCAGCCCAGGCGGCGCUCGCCGCCGCCUCCCGCGCCCUCCUGCACCGUUGCCGCAGCGCCUAGGGACGGGAACCGCCGUUCUCGGCCGCCGGACUCCUCUCCUCCGCCCAACUUCAUCUUCUCCGCUCACCCUCCUUCUCACGGGCUCGGCCCAUCUUUUGGUUUAUGCAGGUCCAACCCAGCAGAUUCGGCCCAGCCCGCUCUGCCCAGUCCAGCCGAGACGAUCCGACCCGUUCCGCCUCCCCUCGGGUUCGGCCCGGAACACGCGACCCGUUUCGCCAGCAGAUUCAGUCCAGCUCCAACACCCAGCUCAGUUCGCCCGUGCUCGCGGCCCAAUGCGCCCUACCGCGGCCCAACUCCUGCGCAUUCGGCCCAACCCACGCGCACGGCCCAGACCUUCGCACUCCCGGCCCAACUCACCGGCCCAGCGCCCCUUUGUAGCCGAUCCGCACUGUUCAGACCGCCCGGUCCGGUCUAAACGCCUGGUUUAUGGUUUAAACCGAAAUUAGGGAUGCCGCACUCGGUCUCUUGAUUCGCGUCUCAACAAAGUCCGUCAGCACACGAGGAUCCCACCGAGUCUCCGGAAACCAAGAUCGACACACUUGCCAGGACAUCCCUCACUCCAAGCACAGUCAUCAUGGUAUUUUCACCAACAGCAGAAUCGAUCACCUUCGCUGGUAAGCUGCUGAGAAAGAUGAGGAACUCACCGACUAACCGUGACCUCUAGAGAGAGCUCUCCCGGACCCGCAGCAAGCUACAGAGACGCGAUCAGGAGCUCGCUUGAGCGAACACCUCCUUGGAGAGGUCUCGGAAGAAGGCUCGUGGAAGUCUUCACAUGCACCUUAGGAUAGACAUCUUUACCAGGCCCUCGCCUGGAAUUGGUGCUUUCCACGGAGAUGGUCGCUCGCGCCCCGAGCACAGUGGAAGAUCGAUUUAGGGCUUGUUUUUCAAAAUUACAUUGUAUUUUCGAACCUUGUGGAUCAAUACGAAUGACGACAUUAGCUUUCAAAA